rnacentral:rRNA from 1 species
ACUCCUACGGGAGGCAGCAGUGGGGAAUAUUGCACAAUGGGGGAAACCCUGAUGCAGCGACGCAGCGUGCGGGAUGACGGCCUUCGGGUUGUAAACCGCUUUCAGCAGGGAAGAAGCGAAAGUGACGGUACCUGCAGAAGAAGUACCGGCUAACUACGUGCCAGCAGCCGCGGUAAUACGUAGGGUGCGAGCGUUAAUCGGAAUUACUGGGCGUAAAGCGCAUGCAGGCGGCCUGUUAAGUCAGAUGUGAAAGCCCGGGGCUUAACCUCGGAAUUGCAUUUGAAACUGGCAGGCUAGAGUCUUGUAGAGGGGGUAGAAUUUCAGGUGUAGCGGUGAAAUGCGUAGAGAUCUGAAGGAAUACCAGUGGCGAAGGCGGCCCCCUGGACAAAGACUGACGCUCAGAUGCGAAAGCGUGGGGAGCAAACAGGAUUAGAUACCCUGGUAGGAUAGCG